GUGAGGAAUAUUGCGCAAUGGAGGCAACUCUGACGCAGCCAUGCCGCGUGCAGGAAGAAGGCGCUACGCGUUGUAAACUGCUUUUAACCGGGAAGAAACCCCAGGACGUGUCCUGGGUUGACGGUACCGGAGGAAUAAGCACCGGCUAACUUCGUGCCAGCAGCCGCGGUAAUACGAAGGGUCCAAGCGUUAUCCGGAUUCAUUGGGUUUAAAGGGUGCGUAGGCGGAGCGUUAAGUCAGUGGUGAAAUCCUGCAGCUUAACUGUAGACUUGCCAUUGAUACUGGCGCUCUUGAGUGCGCUUGAAGUGGGCGGAAUGUGCCGUGUAGCGGUGAAAUGCUUAGAUAUGGCACAGAACACCAAUUGCGAAGGCAGCUCACUAAGGCGAUACUGACGCUGAGGCACGAAAGCGUGGGGAUCGAACAGGAUUAGAAACCCUGGUAGUCC
rnacentral:rRNA from 1 species